rnacentral:rRNA from 1 species
UACGUAGGGACCGAGCGUUGUCCGGAAUCAUUGGGCGUAAAGCGCGCGUAGGUGGCUUCGUAAGUCCGUUGUGAAAGUCAAAGGCUCAACCUUUGAAAGCCGAUGGAUACUGCGGAGCUAGAGUACGGAAGAGGCGAGUGGAAUUCCUGGUGUAGCGGUGGAAUGCGCAGAUAUCAGGAGGAACACCAAUAGCGAAGGCAGCUCGCUGGGACGUUACUGACACUGAGGCGCGAAAGCGUGGGGAGCGAACAGG